UACAGAGGUGGCAAGCGUUGUUCGGAAUUACUGGGCGUAAAGGGCGCGUAGGCGGUCCUGUAAGUCCUGUGUGAAAUCCCCCGGCUCAACUGGGGAACUGCACAGGAAACUGCGGGGCUCGAGUUCGGGAGAGGGAGGCGGAAUUCCGGGUGUAGCGGUGAAAUGCGUAGAUAUCCGGAGGAACACCGGUGGCGAAGGCGGCUUCCUGGACCGACACUGACGCUGAGGCGCGAAAGCUAGGGGAGCAAACGGG
rnacentral:rRNA from 1 species